rnacentral:rRNA from 1 species
GCGGUGGAUGAUGUGGUUAAUUCGAUGCAACGCGAAAACCUUACCCACCUUGACAUGGCAGGAAUCCCGAAGAGAUUGGGAGUGCUCGAAAGAGAACCUGCACACAGGUGCUGCAUGGCUGUCGUCAGCUCGUGUCGUGAGAUGUUGGGUUAAGUCCCGCAACGAGCGCAACCCUUGCCAUUAGUUGCUACGAAAGGGCACUCUAAUGGGACUGCCGGUGACAAACCGGAGGAAGGUGGGGAUGACGUCAAGUCCUCAUGGCCCUUAUAGGUGGGGCUACACACGUCAUACAAUGGCCGGUACAGAGGGUAGCCAACCCGCGAGGGGGAGCCAAUCCCACAAAGCCGGUCGUAGUCCGGAUCGCAGUCUGCAACUCGACUGCGUGAAGUCGGAAUCGCUAGUAAUCGCGGAUCAGCAUGUCGCGGUGAAUACGUUCCCGGGUCUU